UCGGGAAUUUUGGGCAAUGGGCGAAAGCCUGACCCAGCAACGCCGCGUGAGGGAUGAAGUAUUUCGGUAUGUAAACCUCGAAAGAAUGGGAAGAAUAAAUGACGGUACCAUUUAUAAGGUCCGGCUAACUACGUGCCAGCAGCCGCGGUAAUACGUAGGGACCAAGCGUUGUUCGGAUUUACUGGGCGUAAAGGGCGCGUAGGCGGCAAUUCAAGUCAGCUGUGAAAUCUCUGGGCUUAACCCGGAACGGCCAGCUGAUACUGCUUUGCUAGAGUGCGGAAGGUGCAAUCGGAAUUCUUGGUGUAGCGGUAAAAUGCGUAGAUAUCAAGAGGAACACCUGAGGUGAAGACGGGUUGCUGGGCCGACACUGACGCUGAGGCGCGAAAGCCAGGGGAGCAAACG
rnacentral:rRNA from 1 species